rnacentral:rRNA from 1 species
UACGUAGGGUGCAAGCGUUAUCCGGAAUUAUUGGGCGUAAAGAGCUCGUAGGCGGUUUGUCGCGUCUGCUGUGAAAACUGGGGGCUCAACCCCCAGCCUGCAGUGGGUACGGGCAGACUAGAGUGCGGUAGGGGAGAUUGGAAUUCCUGGUGUAGCGGUGGAAUGCGCAGAUAUCAGGAGGAACACCGGUGGCGAAGGCGGGUCGUCUGGGCCGAUACUGACGCUGAGGAGCGAAAGCGUGGGGAGCGAACAGG